rnacentral:rRNA from 1 species
CAGAUUGCAGGCUGCAACUCGCCUGCAUGAAGUCGGAAUUGCUAGUAAUCGCAGAUCAGCAUGCUGCGGUGAAUACGUUCCCGGGCCUUGUACACACCGCCCGUCACACCAUGGGAGUCGGUAACACCCGAAGUCGGUAGCCUAACCGUAAGGAGGGCGCCGCCGAAGGUGGGAUUGAUGACUGGGGUGAAGUCGUAACAAGGUACC